rnacentral:rRNA from 1 species
GAUGAACGCUGGCGGCGUGCCUAAUACAUGCAAGUCGAGCGAACGGACGAGAAGCUUGCUUCUCUGAUGUUAGCGGCGGACGGGUGAGUAACACGUGGAUAACCUACCUAUAAGACUGGGAUAACUUCGGGAAACCGGAGCUAAUACCGGAUAAUAUUUUGAACCGCAUGGUUCAAAAGUGAAAGACGGUCUUGCUGUCACUUAUAGAUGGAUCCGCGCUGCAUUAGCUAGUUGGUAAGGUAACGGCUUACCAAGGCAACGAUGCAUAGCCGACCUGAGAGGGUGAUCGGCCACACUGGAACUGAGACACGGUCCAGACUCCUACGGGAGGCAGCAGUAGGGAAUCUUCCGCAAUGGGCGAAAGCCUGACGGAGCAACGCCGCGUGAGUGAUGAAGGUCUUCGGAUCGUAAAACUCUGUUAUUAGGGAAGAACAUAUGUGUAAGUAACUGUGCACACCUUGACGGUACCUAAUCAGAAAGCCACGGCUAACUACGUGCCAGCAGCCGCGGUAAUACGUAGGUGGCAAGCGUUAUCCGGAAUUAUUGGGCGUAGAGCGCGCGUAGGCGGUUUUUUAAGUCUGAUGUGAAAGCCCACGGCUCAACCGUGGAGGGUCAUCGGAAACUGGAAAACUUGAGUGCAGAAGAGGAAAGUGGAAUUCCAUGUGUAGCGGUGAAAUGCGCAGAGAUAUGGAGGAACACCAGUGGCGAAGGCGACUUCCUGGUCUGUAACUGACGCUGAUGUGCGAAAGCGUGGGGAUCAAACAGGAUUAGAUACCCUGGUAGUCCACGCCGUAAACGAUGAGUGCUAAGUGUUAGGGGGUUUCCGCCCCUUAGUGCUGCAGCUAACGCAUUAAGCACUCCGCCUGGGGAGUACGACCGCAAGGUUGAAACUCAAAGGAAUUGACGGGGACCCGCACAAGCGGUGGAGCAUGUGGUUUAAUUCGAAGCAACGCGAAGAACCUUACCAAAUCUUGACAUCCUUUGACAACUCUAGAGAUAGAGCUUUCCCCUUCGGGGGACAAAGUGACAGGUGGUGCAUGGUUGUCGUCAGCUCGUGUCGUGAGAUGUUGGGUUAAGUCCCGCAACGAGCGCAACCCUUAAGCUUAGUUGCCAUCAUUAAGUUGGGCACCCUAAGUUGACUGCCGGUGACAAACCGGAGGAAGGUGGGGAUGACGUCAAAUCAUCAUGCCCCUUAUGAUUUGGGCUACACACGUGCUACAAUGGACAAUACAAAGGGCAGCGAAACCGCGAGGUCAAGCAAAUCCCAUAAAGUUGUUCUCAGUUCGGAUUGUAGUCUGCAACUCGACUACAUGAAGCUGGAAUCGCUAGUAAUCGUAGAUCAGCAUGCUACGGUGAAUACGUUCCCGGGUCU